rnacentral:rRNA from 1 species
UACGUAGGGGGCAAGCGUUGUCCGGAUUUAUUGGGCGUAAAGCGCGCGCAGGCGGUUUCUUAAGUCUGAUGUGAAAGCCCACGGCUCAACCGUGGAGGGUCAUUGGAAACUGGGGAACUUGAGUGCAGAAGAGAAAAGCGGAAUUCCACGUGUAGCGGUGAAAUGCGUAGAGAUGUGGAGGAACACCAGUGGCGAAGGCGGCUUUUUGGUCUGUAACUGACGCUGAGGCGCGAAAGCGUGGGGAGCAAACAGG